rnacentral:rRNA from 1 species
UCCGUAGGUGAACCUGCGGAAGGAUCAUUACAGAGAACAUGCCCCUCUAGGGUAUAUCUCCCACCCUUUGUCUACAAUACCUUUGUUGCUUUGGCAAGCCCGUCUCGAUGACUACUGGCUUCUAGCUAGCUUGCGCUUGCCAGAGGACCCCAAAAUUCUCUUUUAUGUUGACCGAGUACCACACAAUAAUUAAAACUUUCAACAACGGAUCUCUUGGUUCUGGCAUCGAUGAGGAACGCAGCGAAAUGCGAUAAGUAAUGCGAAUUGCAGAAUUCAGUGAAUCAUCGAAUCUUUGAACGCACAUUGCACCCCCUGGUAUUCCAGGGGGUAUGCCUGUUCGAGCGUCACUUCAACCCUCAAGCAAUGCUUGGUAUUGGAUGUCAUCACAUCUGGCGCAUCUCAAAAAGCAUCGGCGGUAGUGUUUAGCUUCUAGCAUAGUAAUUUUCUUGCUUUGGAGUCCUAAAAUGUCUGCCUGCAAGAACCCUAAUUUUAUCAGGUCGACCUCGGAUCAGGUAGGGAUACCCGCUGAAACUUAAGCAUAUCAAUAAGCGGAGGGAAGUCGGACUGGCCAAGGGGCACACCAGGGGGGGGGAUA